ensembl:lncRNA
GAUUCAGAUCCAGUCCUGACCAAGUCUGCCAAGGCCUCUGUGGCUCUCAUGUGCAUCUCCCUGGUCCUGGUCUUCCUGCUCUGCUUCGGCUUCUCCUGGCGCAGGAGGGACGAGAAGCAGAAGUCUCUGAGCGUGUCCGGGAUCAUUCUGCCUCCCCACGUGGUGGUUGGACAGAAGGGCCGUGUGACUGUUAGCAUUGAGGGACGCAGAGUCGACCGAGUCGAAACCAGCUGGUUCCUCAAUGACACACCCAUCGCCGACACCUCACGCAAAGUAUCAGAGAAAGGACCUCUGCUUCCCUCCAGAGGACAGACUGAGUACUACAAGCUGCACAACCAGGGCCCCUUGCACUCCACUGGAAACCGGCAGCAGCUGGUGUCAUCGCUCACCUUCGUCCCGCAGAUCUCCAUCCAUAAGGGGGCGGUGUUCAAAUGCCAGGUGUCCUACAUGGGCAAGGACAAGGUGGUGGUCGAGAGAGUGUCCGAAAGGUUCACUGUCCUGGCUGCUCCAGAAGUGUCCGAGAUAC